UUCAACCAGCGGUGCUCUGAUUUGUUUGUUGAAGUAACCCUCAAUCCUGCCAAGCUUCCUCCUUCCAUCUGUGGAGGUCUCCUUCUGCCACUCUGCGGAUUGAUUUCCUGGAUAUUCCAAGGGAUCUGAUUUCAGUUCAGCUGUGUUUGAGGGAUGAGGAAAAUCCCGGUCCCCCUACUUUCCCGCCAUCUUAACCCUGCCCUGAUAACCCUCUUUUGUUUGCCGGUUUCACGUAAAAGCAUGAUAAAAGACGCAGAUGAACAUCCAGAUGGAAAAGAUGUCGAAGACGAGACGUGUGGUGCCCUCAUCAGGUGAUGGAUUUGUUUUCUAGUCUGGGAAGAUGAGCAACAAAACUGCUUGUAGAUAUUUAGGAGAUGUCUUUUGGAGCACACGAAGAUGCAUUGAUGUUUGAUAUUUCAAUCUAUUGGGGGAGGAGCCAAGAUGGCGGAAGAGCAUGG